UGUCACGUACUAUGUCUUGUAUGCUUCUUUUAUCAUCCCAAUAGAAGUGAUUUCGAAUGUGUGUGUAUUUUAUACAGUAUAGCAGCAUGUGUUCCGUUGUGUCUUUUUCAUCACAAAGAUCGCAUUCUUCCGAAUCUACUAGGCGCAUUUUAGCCAACCAGUAGUUCGAGAAGUCGCGUCCAGCCAGUAUUCUAUUUAGUGUUCGCACUUCUUCCCCAUUGAAUGUUGAAUUCCAAAACCACGGUCUUCUUGGAAAGCAGAGAAGUUUGUUGACGAUAAUCGCAUCAUUAUUCAAUCCUGCCUUUGCCAGAGUAUCUGCUGCUUCGUUUCCCUCCAGACCCACAUGGCCUGGAAUCCACUGAAGUACAGUGCCCGUUGUUUGCAGUUCUUUGCAAAUUGUACCAGUCAGACUGUCCCAUGAUUUGGAUUCUUGGUGUUUUUCCAAAAGUAGACAUGCAGACUGGGAGUCGCUGAUGUGUUUUUCACUCGUAAAACCAUCCGUACUCGUGCCCGAUCGUAACCGAACUCGACAAACUAAUGGUCAGGGCACAAAAGCCAAUCGUCAAAAUUCACGUUUAAGCAGAGAUGCCAGAUAUCUAUACACGCAAAAAUAAAACAACCCACAGAAUAAGUUCGUCAACAGUUCCCGGAUAGAAUUUUACAAUAGCAUUUACCCUACAAACAAUCAUAAAACAAUAAAUAUUAUAGUUAUUAGAGCAUGUUCAGGAGUGUUUCAGUUUUAGAUUUAUAAUUUUGACAGUUCUAUAAUAUAAAACUGAAAAUUUUAAAACUGGAACUUUCUGUCCCUAGCAGCAGUUUUGGCGAGGGUGCUACUCAGUUUAAAAUGCAUGUCUCGCCAUGCCUUCAGCGUUACUGCAUUCAAAUUUAUUUUUCCCCAGUCUAUCGGUUCUAAGUGUCUAUGCUGAAAACUUUGCAUGCAUUUAAAACACAGUUCUAAACGUGUUUUAAAAUCAGCAACAAAUAGAGCGGAGUUGUAUAACAGUUUUAAAUUUUGAAACAAAACUGUUCGAAAUUAUAAAACAAAACGCCCUGCUGGGGAUGUGGAUGCUUCAGUUCCAGUUCUACUUUGAAACUCCUAUACAAAAUAAAACGCUCCUGAAUAUGCCCUUACUGUUUCAACAUUGUUCGAUGCCAAGUUCUCA